UACGUAGGUGGCUAGCGUUGUCCGGAUUUACUGGGCGUAAAGAGCGCGCAGGCGGUCGUUCAAGUCGAGUGUGAAAGCCCCCCGGCUCAACUGGGGAGGGUCACUCGAUACUGAUCGACUCGAAGGCAGGAGAGGGAAGCGGAAUUCCCGGUGUAGUGGUGAAAUGCGUAGAUAUCGGGAGGAACACCAGUGGCGAAGGCGGCUUUCUGGCCUGCUCUUGACGCUGAGGCGGCGAAAAGCGUGG
rnacentral:rRNA from 1 species